UACAGAGACUGCAAGCGUUGUUCGGAUUCAUUGGGCGUAAAGGGUGCGCAGGCGGUGCGCUAAGUCGGAUGUGAAAUCUCACAGCCUAACUGUGAUAGGUCAUUCGAAACUGGCGUGCUUGAGGAUUGGAGAGGAGACUGGAAUAGUCGGUGUAGCGGUGAAAUGCGUAGAGAUCGACUAGAACACCGGUGGCGAAGGCGGGUCUCUGGACAAUUCCUGACGCUCAUGCACGAAAGCCAGGGGAGCAAACGGG
rnacentral:rRNA from 1 species